AUUAUUUCACACUCCAGACAGCUCAAGAACCCACCCACCCUGGGAGUUCCGAUUCCUCGCUCCGAUCGGCCGAGCCGGUGCCGGCCCCCGGGGAUUUAAACCUGGCUUUUCUCCCGUGCAAAGUGGGGAAGAAACUGCACCAGGCAACCUCCUGUGAUCUUGCAAUAUUGCUCCUAUUUAAUUUUUUUUAACCUCGCCCCAGCCAGGGGGAGGGAGAGGAAAGCGGGGGUGGGGGGGCAUUUUUCAGGAAGAGAAACAUUUCGAUCCCUAUAAAUAAAGAUCCAUUUACAAGGAGAAAAAGAAAGGGGAAGGUAGUGGAGGGCCGGAGAGGAGGGGGGCGAGCUCGCAAUAAAUAAAUAAUUAAAGGAACCUGCUGCUGCUCGGGUUUGCCUCCUGCCGGGGAAGGGAGGCGGGUUUGAAGCGCUCCCGCACGUCUGGAGGGGGGCGAGUUUGUCUCAGACAGGUGAUGGGCGUUUCGGCGGCGCUCCGGAUUGACUCCUUGGGUUUCACUUUGGUCUGAUCUAAACAAAUAUGCAGAAGUACCGGCUGGUCCAGUCCUAGGAGCGCGCGCGAGAGAGCAGCAGAAGCGGAGCUCCUCUAGCAAAGGGAACAUACAAACCCCCCAAGCACACCGCCCCCCCGGCACACCGCAGCGUGGACGAAGAGCCCCGAGCCGCACGCCUCACCAGUGUCUUUCCCCGAGGGAUGGUACUGAAUUUCCCAGCCACAGGAGCCGGGCUGGAGCUCCGCCGCAGCACCCUUGCCUUGGAUUCGUGCCCCGAGUGUAUUAGAACGCGAUGAGGACCUGGGCUUGCAUUUUGCUGCUAGGUUUUUGCUACCUUCCCUUUGCGUUUCCCGAGGAAGCUGAAAUCCCCCAGGAGCUAAUCGAGAGGCUGGCUCACAGCGAAAUCCACAGCAUCCGCGAUUUGCAGCGCCUCCUGGAGAUUGAUUCCGUAGGAUAUGACGAUGUUUCAGAAACAAACUUGAGAUCUCAUAGUGUUCAUUCUGCUAAACAUGUUCAAGAGAAUCGCCCUGUACCCAUUCGCAGAAAAAGAAGCAUUGAAGAAGCCAUUCCUGCCGUCUGCAAAACAAGAACUGUUAUAUACGAGAUACCUCGGAGUCAGAUCGAUCCCACGUCUGCUAAUUUCCUGAUAUGGCCACCAUGCGUGGAGGUGAAACGUUGUACUGGCUGUUGCAACACCAGCAGCGUGAAAUGUCAGCCAUCACGGAUACAUCACAGAAGUGUCAAGGUGGCAAAAGUGGAAUAUGUUAGAAAAAAGCCAAAAUUAAAAGAAGUUCUGGUGAGGUUAGAAGAGCAUAUGGAAUGCACCUGUACAUCAUCAAAUUCUAAUUCAGAUUAUCGAGAAGAAGAAACUGGAAGGCCUAGGGAAACAGGUAAAAAACGGAAACGAAAAAGGUUAAAACCAACAUAAAAACUACUGGAACUAUUUGCUAAUCAGAUUAACAGGUAUUUAUUGGGAGUAGUAUGAUAGAAGCAAAGAUUUUGUAAAAUUCAACUUUAAAAGUCAGCAUGUAAACUCAAUCAAAACAGCAUUUAGAACUUCUUGUCCCAGAUGUAAGGUGAAAUAAGCUAGAAAAAAAAAGAACUUCUCUCUGGGACAUGGAUGUACAUGGUUUGUUACAUUCCUGAACCUACUAUGUAUGGUGCUUUAUUGACUGUAUACUUUAUUUGUUCUCCUAUGUGAAAAAAACUGGCUGAAAAGAACACUUAAUGAGAACAAAGAGACAAUGUACAUUUGUUUAAUGUGACAUCAAAGCAAGUAUUGUAGCACUCUGUGAAACAAUAGGAAGCUUCCCUGUCCAAAAAACCACAAAACAACAAAACAAACAAAGAAAAUAAGUAAGACAGUUGAAUGAAUGGAGGAUACCAAAAGUACAAAACAAAAAAUAAAAGAGGAAGAAGAAGAAAAAAGACAAA